rnacentral:rRNA from 1 species
UACGGAGGAUGCGAGCGUUAUCCGGAUUUAUUGGGUUUAAAGGGUGCGUAGGCGGAAUAUCAAGUCAGCGGUAAAAAUUCGGGGCUCAACCCCGUCGUGCCGUUGAAACUGGCGUUCUUGAGUGGGCGAGAAGUAUGCGGAAUGCGUGGUGUAGCGGUGAAAUGCGUAGAGAUUAGGAAGAACACCAGUGGCGAAGGCGACUUACUGGACUGUAACUGACGCUGAGGCAUGAGAGCAUGGGGAGCAAACAGG